CAGUAGCCACGGUAAUACGUAGGGUCCAAGCGUUAAUCGGAAUUACUGGGCGUAAAGCGUGCGCAGGCGGUUAUAUAAGACAGAUGUGAAAUCCCCGGGCUCAACCUGGGAACUGCAUUUGUGACUGUAUAGCUAGAGUACGGCAGAGGGGGAUGGAAUUCCGCGUGUAGCAGUGAAAUGCGUAGAUAUGCGGAGGAACACCGAUGGCGAAGGCAAUCCCCUGGGCCUGUACUGACGCUCAUGCACGAAAGCGUGGGGAGCAAACAGGAUUAGAUACCCCCGUAGUCCCUGUCUCUUAUAC
rnacentral:rRNA from 1 species